UAUUUUCAACAGGCUUCGUGGAACAGCUGGAGAAUAAAAUCCUUGAAGAAUAAUGAGCUGUUUUGCCUGGAGAUCAGAAUAUGCAUGGAAAUAUAUUGUGUAUAACAUUAUUUGAAAUGUAUCUGAGAGGCAAUAAAUAAAAGUUGUAUCGAAAUAAA